UGAACGCUAGCGGCAGGCCUAACACAUGCAAGUCGAACGGUAACAUUUCCAGCUUGCUGGAAGAUGACGAGUGGCGCACGGGUGCGUAACGCGUAUGCAACUUACCUAUAACUAAAGGAUAGCCCUGAGAAAUUGGGAUUAAUACUUUAUGGUACUAUAAUUUGGCAUCAUUUUAUAGUUAAAGAUUUAUUGGUUAUAGAUAGGCAUGCGUCCCAUUAGUUUGUUGGUGAGGUAACGGCUCACCAAGACUGCGAUGGGUAGGGGGCCUGAGAGGGUUAUCCCCCACACUGGUACUGAGACACGGACCAGACUCCUACGGGAGGCAGCAGUGAGGAAUAUUGGUCAAUGGAGGCAACUCUGAACCAGCCAUGCCGCGUGCAGGAAGAAUGCCCUACGGGUUGUAAACUGCUUUUAUAUAGGAAGAAACUUCCCGACUUGUCGGGAACUGACGGUACUAUAUGAAUAAGCACCGGCUAACUCC
rnacentral:rRNA from 1 species